UACGGAGGGUGCGAGCGUUAUUCGGAAUGACUGGGCGUAAAGCGCGCGUAGGCAGCUUUUUAAGUCCGAUGUGAAAGCCCCGAACUCAAUUUGGGAAGUGCAUUGGAUACUGAGGAGCUAGAGUACAGGAGAGGAGAGCGGAAUUCCAGGUGUAGAGGUGAAAUUCGUAGAUAUCUGGAGGAACACCGGUGGCGAAGGCGGCAUUCUGGACCGAUAUUGACGCUGAGGAGCGAAAGCCAGGGGAGCAAACGGG
rnacentral:rRNA from 1 species